UUGAACGCUGGCGGCAUGCUUUACACAUGCCAGUCGAACGGUAACAGGCCUUCGGGUGCUGACGAGUGGCGAACGGGUGAGUAAUGCAUCGGAACGUACCCAGAGGUGGGGGAUAACGCAGCGAAAGCUGUGCUAAUACCGCAUGUGAUCUGAGGAUGAAAGCGGGGGACCGAGCAGCAAUGUUUGGCCUCGCGCCUUUGGAGCGGCCGAUGUCGGAUUAGCUAGUUGGUGGGGUAAAGGCCUACCAAGGCGACGAUCCGUAGCUGGUCUGAGAGGACGACCAGCCAAACUGGGACUGAGACACGGCCCAGACUCCUACGGGAGGCAGCAGUGGGGAAUUUUGGACAAUGGGCGCAAGCCUGAUCCAGCAAUGCCGCGUGCGGGAAGAAGGCCUUCGGGUUGUAAACCGCUUUUGGCAGGAACGAAACGGUGUCCGCUAAUACCGGGCGCUAAUGACGGUACCUGCAGAAUAAGCACCGGCUAACUACGUG
rnacentral:rRNA from 1 species